rnacentral:pre_miRNA from 1 species
AGUAGAAUUGCUGGAUCAUAUGGUAAUUCUAGCUUUUUUAAGGAAACACCAUGUCAUUUCCCAAAAUGGAUGUACCAUUUUGCAUUCCCACCAGCAGU